rnacentral:lncRNA from 1 species
UAUGUUCUCAUUUAUAAAUGGGAGCUAAGCUAUGAGGAUGCAAAAGCAUAAGAAUGAUACAAUAGACUUUGGACUUUGGAGACUCAGGGGAAAAGAUGGGAGGGGAGUGAGGGAUAAAAGACUAUACAUUGGGCACUGUGUACAAUGCUUAGGUGACAGUUGCACCAAAAUCUCAGAAAUCACCAUUAAAGAAAGUAUCUAUGUAAGCAAAACCACCUGUUCCCCAAGAACUACUGAAAUAAAAUAAAAUAUUUUAAAAAUGAGUCCAUCAAUGCAGCAAACUUUAUUGUUGUCUUAUUUGAAGAAGUUGCCACACCCACUCCAGCCUUCAGCAACCACCACUCAGAUCGGUCAGAAGCCAUCCAUGUUGAAGCAAGACUGUCCACCAGGUUUUUGCUAGUGACAUAAGAUGACAACUCACUUAAGGCUCAGAUGAUUGUUAGUAUUUUUUCAGCAAUAAAGUAUUUUAGAAUUAGCGUAUUUAUGUUGUAUGUUUAUGACAUAAUGUUAUUGCACACCUAGUAGGUUACAGUAUAGUAUGAGCAUAACUUUUACAUGCAUUGGGAAACCAAAACAUUUGUGUGACUUGCUUUAUUACAAUAUUCACUUUAUUGUGGUGGUCUGGAACAAAACGUGAUAUUUCUGAUAUACAGGCUUGUCUCUGAAGUAUAUCUGUAUCUCAGUGAAGAUGUUAUGAUUUAUUUAUUUAUUUGAGACGGAGUCUCACUCUGUCACCCAGGCUGGAAUGCAGUGGCACAAUCUGCACUUACUGCAACCUCCACCUCCCGGGUUCAAAAGAUUCUCCUGCCUCAGCCUCCCAAGUAGCUGGGACUACAGGCAUGCGCCACCAUGCCAGGCUAUUUUUUUUUUUUUUUUUUUUUUUUUUUUUUUUGAGACGGAGUCUCGCUCUGUAGCCCAGGCUGGAGUGCAGUGGCCGGUUCUCAGCUCACUGCAAGCUCCGCCUCCCGGGUUUACGCCAUUCUCCUGCCUCAGCCUUCCCGAGUAGCUGGGACUACAAGCGCCCGCCACCGCGCCCGGCUAGUUUUUUGUAUGUUUUAGUAGAGACGGGGUUUCACCGUGUUCGCCAGGAUGGUCUCGAUCUCCUGACCUCGUGAUCCGCCCGUCUCAGCCUCCCAAAGUGCUGGGAUUACAGGCUUGAGCCACCGCGCCCGGCCUUGCCCAGCUAAUUUUUAAAAAAUUUUUUUCUGUAGAGAUGUAGUCUCACUAUGUUGCCCAGGCUGGUCACAACUCCUGGGCUCAAGUGAUCCACCUGCCCCAGCCUCCCAAAGUGCUGGGAUUAUAGGCAUGAGCCACUGUGCCCGGCCAAACUCAAUUUAUCUAAAAGAAAAAAAAAAAGCCUCCUAAUUUUCUUCCUAAAGCGUUCCCCAUCUCAGUGGAGAAAAGCUUUUCUUUUACAUGCUAAGGGUAAAACUCUUGGAGUCAUCUUCAGCUUCUCUCUUUCUCUCAUACUCUACAUGAAUCAUUUAACAAACUUGAUUAACUUUAAAUUCAAAACAAAAUACUCAUAAUAUGACCACUUCUUUUUUUAAUUAGUAAUUUACUUCUUUUCUUUUUCCAUUUAUUCUUCAUGAUGGAAUAUAACUGACCACUUCUUACCACUUCACUUCUACUACUGUGGCCUCAACCAUCAUCAUUUCUCACCUCAACGAUUGCGAUAACUUCCUAAUGCUAUACUUCUCUGUGUCUGUUCUUCCUAUGGUAUUCUGAGGGAUCUUAUGAAAAUGCAAGUAAGAUUAGGUCACAUUUUGGCUCAAAACCUCCAGUGACUUCCCAUCUCACUCAUGAUUUUACUACCCACACCCAUCCCUGGCCUCCCUGACCUCCUCUCCUUAUAUUCUCCCCCUUGGUCCCUCAGCUCUGGACACACGGGCUUCCUUUCCAUUCCCUGAGCAUAGCAUGCUUCCACCUCAGGACCUUUGAACUUACUCAUCCCUCUACUUGGGACACUUUAAUCACAUAUCCAUAUGGCUUGCUCUCUCACUUCUAUUCAGAUAUCACCUUGACGGUGGAGCUGUCCAGACUACCCGUGUGUAAGCAAUAUUUCCGCACCCCUGCCUCUGGACUACCUGUCCUCCUUACGCCAUAAUAAUUUUCUCCCAUAACACCUAUUAUCAUUUGUCUAAUAGACACAUUAUCUAUUAGACAAAUGGGACUCCCCGAGCAUGUCCUGGUUACUGUAGAAGUGUCUCCUCCUCAAGGCAAUGUUAUAAUGAGAAGUGAGGGAAAUAGUCAACAAGGGCUGCAAAGCAUGUUGGUCUAAUUAGUGUCCCCUUGCACAGAGAUCUGGGGAGAAGUCUGAGGAGGGAGUAUCCAAAGAUGACAUAACCUGAGUGCAGAUUUUCGACUGUAAGUGAAAAGUGAGCUGAGCCUGUGCUCAAGGACUUCCUGCGUGCUGAGCACCCGUGCCGAGCACUGUCUCUCACUAGCUUGCUGAUGGGGGUUUGGGUUUAUAAAUUUCAUGUUUCACUCACCAACACUAACUCAUUUUAUAUUUCAAUCAAAACGGAAUGUGUGAAUCCAGGCUCGGUGGCUCAUGCCUGUAAUCCCAGCACUUUGGGAGGCCAAGGCAGGCAGAUGGCUUGAGCUCAGGCGUUGGAGACCGGCCUGGGCAACACAGUGAAACCCCAUCUUUACCAAAAAUACAAAAAAAUUAGCCAGGUACGGUGGCAUGUGCCUGUAGUACCAGCUACUCCGGAGGCUAAGGUAGGAGGACUGCUUGAGCCCAGGAGGCGCAGGGUACAGUGAGCUAAGAUCGCGCCACUGCACUCCACCUAGACUCUGUCUCAAAAAAAAAAAAAAAAAAAAAAAAAAAAAAAAAAAAAUUGUGUUUUUUUUUUUUUUUCCUGGAAGGAAAUAGAACAUAUUCUCUAAUAUUCUCUAAGUGGUUUGUGUGCUUUGGCACACAAAAGAAUGCAAUGAUGAUGGCCUUUCUCACUGGUUGGUUUGCUGUUCCCACAGUUAGAGGAGACUGCCCACACAGGGAGAGUGGCACAGAGGAGAGCAACAUCAAUCAACAGCGAAUAUGCAUGCGAUCGCGGUCUAAUUAGCACCAGGCACCUCAGGGCAGCAGUAUUGUCAGGGGCAUUGGAACCAGAGGGACUCCAUCUUGAAUAAGGUCUGGGUAAAAUGAGGCUGACACCUACUGGGCUGCAUUCCCAGGAGGUUAGGCAUUCUUAGUCACAGGACAAGAUAGAGGUCAUAAAGACCCUGCUGAUAAAACAACAAAGAAGGCAGCCAAAACUCACCAAAACCAAGGUGGUGAUGAAAGUGACCUCUGGUUGUCCUCACUGCUCAUUAAAUGCAAAUUAUAAUGUAUUAGCAUGCUCAAAGACACUCCCAGCAGCACCACGACAGUUUACGAACGCCAUGGCAAUAUCAGGAAGUUACCCUAUAUGGUCUAAAAGGGGAGGAACCCUCAGUUAGGGUAAAUCCCUGCCCCUUUCCUGGAAAACUCAUGAAUAAUCCACCCCUUGUUUAACAUAUAAUCAAGAAAUAACUAUACCUCGAACAUCCUAUGCCACUGCUCUGCCUAUGGGAGUAGCCAUUCUUUUAUUCUUUUACUUCUCUAAUAAACUUACUUUCACUCUACUUUAUGAACUCACCCCAAAUUCUUUCUUGUGCAAGAUCCAGAACCUUCUCUUGGGGUCUGGAUCAGGACCCCUUUCCUGUAACAGUAUUAGUCAUAACUAUUAUCUGAAAAAGUAUAUUUAUAUGGCACGUUACAAAUUCAAUUGCGCACGAUAGAUUCUGACCCAUGUCAUUCUCACAAUCACCCCAUAAUGUCAAUCCUUCCAUUUCACAAUAAAAAAACUGAGGCUCAGGCUGGAGAUGGUGGCCCACACCUAUAAUCCCAGCACUUUGGGAGGCUGAGGCAGUGGGAUCAUUUGAGGAUUGGAGUUUGAAACCAGCAUGGGCAAAAUGAUGAGAUUCCAGUUCUACAAAAAAAUAAAUAAAAGUUUUUGGCCAGGCACGGUGGCUCACACCUAUAAUUCCAGCACUUUGGGAGGCCGAGGCGGGUGGAUCACAAGGUCAGGAGAUCAAGACCAUCCUGGCUAACAUGGUGAAACCCCAUCUCUAUUAAAAAUACAAAAAAUUAGCCAGGCAUGGUGGUGGGCACCUGUAGUCCCAGCUACUCGGGAGACUGAGGCAGGAGAAUGGCAUGAACCUGGGAGGCGGAGCUUGCAGUGAGCCGAGACUGCACCACCACACUCCAGCCUGGGCGACAUAGUGAGACUCCAUCUCAAAAAAAAAAAAAAAAAAUUGUUUUUCAUUAGUUGGGCUUGGUGGGGCAAUUCUAGUCCCAGGUAUGAGGGAGGCUGAGGCAGGAGGAUUGUUUGGGCCCAGGAGUUUGGGGCUGCUGCAGUGAGCUGAGAUCACACCAUUGUACUUUAGCCUGCAUGACAGAAUGAGACUAUAUAUCAAAAGAAAAAAAAUAAAGAAGAAAAAGAAGAAAUUGAGGCUCAAGGAGGUUAGGGUGAAUUGCUCAAAGCCAUUCUGUUGUGACCUAAACCUAGAGUGAACAUAUGUCCUGAUGCGUCCAGGACAGCCCUCAGUUUAUGCCUGUCGUCCUGGUGUAAUUAUUAAUAGCUCCUUCUCACUCUCCGGAGUAUCCUGGUUGGAUAGUAAAUUAUAUGGUCACUCUACCAAAAUCUGUUUCUUUCAUUCACUUAAAUGCUAUCUUUUAUUUCAUUACUGCCUUGUUUCCUCCACUUAUGGCAGCUUCAGGAUGAUUAUAACAGCUGAAAAGGCUGGCUUCAGACCAUGGUAUCGCUUCUAUAAGAAAGGAC